GGGGUAUGAAUUGUGCACGCAAAAAUUAUCAAGAAAGUGAGUAACAGAUGCACCAAAGGAAUAACAUAAUUAUAUUAAAUAAAUUGAGUAUAUAUAGGUAUACACACAUAUACUACAAUAAAAUAAUAAAGAAAUAAAAACCACAAGAUAAAGAAAAGAAAGAAAAGUAACCAAAAGCACCAAGUAAUGUAGUGGUGGUGUUGGUGAACAAAGUGUCUUGUAGAUUUUGUAUUAGAUAGAGACAGAACAAAAAAGAAAAAAAAAAAAAAACCAUACAAUCAUAAAUAGUUAGACAACAAAAGAUAUCAAGAAGAGAGAGGCCAAUAGCUGAAGAAAAAAAAAAUAAAAAAAAGUCGUGUGUCUUGUGUACGUAUGAAAGAAAGAGAGAGAGAGAGAGAGAAAUGUAAUCUGUUGGUGUUUGAGAAUUGAGACUCGUCGAACGGAAAUACGAUCAAACAUGGAGAAUAAUUUAGUAUUUUUGACUCUCUAAAAUUAACUCAAAGUGCCUAAGCUAAGUCAAAAAAAAAAAAAAUAAUAAUAAUAAAAGGAUAAAAAAGUAAAAUAAAAUAAUAAUUGUUCAUUUUAUAAUUUGGUAUAAUAAACACAAGUGUUAGUCAUAAUCAUAAUCAUCAUCAUCAUCAUCAUCUUCUUCAUCAUCACCACCAUCAACAUCAUCAAAGUAUAUUAAGCACCUUGCUUAGUGUGAGCCAAUCAACGAAUCAGCAAGUGACUUGUAGGUGUUGAAAUAAAAUAAAAAACAUCAAGCAACAAAUAGUCUCAACAACGACUCCAAGACUCACCUGCACAACACACAGUCAUUUAAAUAAUUAUUAUAAAUAAAAUAAUAAAUAAAAAGUACACGUUGUUUGGAUCAACACGCGGCCCAGGGCUGCCUAAACACAAUCACAAUGGAACUUCGUGUUGGAAGUAGAUAUCGUCUUGGACGUAAAAUCGGGAGUGGUUCAUUUGGUGAUAUUUAUUUAGGAACCAACAUCUCAACUGGCGAAGAAGUAGCCAUCAAACUGGAAUGCAUAAAAACACGCCAUCCACAGUUACAUAUUGAAUCAAGAUUCUACAAGAUGAUGCAGGGUGGAGUUGGUAUACCUUCAAUAAAAUGGUGUGGUUCUGAGGGUGAUUACAAUGUUAUGGUGAUGGAAUUACUUGGUCCAUCACUUGAGGAUUUAUUUAAUUUUUGUUCUCGAAGAUUUACACUGAAGACUGUACUUUUACUUGCUGAUCAAAUGAUAAGCCGAACUGAUUUUAUACACAGUCGUAAUUUUAUACAUCGUGACAUUAAACCAGAUAAUUUUUUAAUGGGAUUAGGUAAAAAAGGUAAUCUUGUAUAUAUAAUUGAUUUUGGUCUUGCUAAAAAAUAUCGUGAUGGAAGAACACACAGACAUAUACCAUAUCGAGAAAAUAAAAAUUUAACUGGUACAGCACGUUAUGCAAGUAUAAAUACACAUAUGGGAAUUGAACAAUCACGUAGAGAUGAUCUUGAAUCAUUAGGAUAUGUUUUUAUGUAUUUUAAUAUUGGUAGUUUACCAUGGCAAGGAUUAAAAGCAGCAACUAAACGACAAAAAUAUGAAAGAAUAUCAGAAAAAAAAAUGUCAACAGCAAUUGAAGAUCUUUGUAAAGGAUAUCCUAUUGAAUUUGCUAAAUAUCUUAGAUAUUGUCGUCAAAUACGUUUUGAAGAAAGACCAGAUUAUUCAUAUUUACGACAAUUAUUUCGUACAUUAUUUCAUCAUGAAACAUUUACUUAUGAUUAUGUUUUUGAUUGGAAUAUGUUAAAAUUUGGUAAUGCAAGACAACAACCACUUCCUGUUGCUCAACAAGCACCAAUUCAUUCACAAUUAGCUAAUAUACCAUUAUCAUCUGGUACAAAUAAUGAUCAAGAUCAUCCAUCAAGAUCAUAUACAAGACAAUGUUUGGCAAAUGCAUCUGGUACUGAUGGUGGUGGAACAGUGAGUAAAUCAGGAAGACGUCAAAAAGAGACUGAGCAGGAUGAACUGGAGAAGGUGAUACGGACGCUCAAGAAAAAAGGAGAUUUACUAUGAGAUUGUACCGUAACACAACUUCAUCAGCACCUUCUGGAGGCACCUGCGAUAUGCAGCCAAAAUCCAAGUAAAAUUGUGUUGUAAUUAGAAAGUACACAAACGGUAUAGAAAAAUGAUAGAAAAAAAAAAAAAAAACAUUUAAUUAAAAAGAAACUAAAACGCUAAUAAUUAAUAAUAAAAAAAAUAAAAAAAAUAAAUGAUGAAAACAAGACAUUUGCCUAACUGUCUGUGUUUAUAAAUUGUUUUUUUUCGAUAAUUCCAAUUGACAAUAGAGUGAUUUUUAAUUUAACUCUAAAUUAUCAAAAAUUAUCAAUAUCAUUAAAUAACAAACGAAAAAAAAAAAAA
rnacentral:misc_RNA from 1 species